UGGCUAGUGCUUUUACUAUACAUCUUAUACC
rnacentral:piRNA from 1 species